rnacentral:lncRNA from 1 species
CGAGGCAGAAAAAUUCUACUUUCCAUCUGCUUGGCUGCGGAGGACCUUGGGGUGGGCUCAGCGUGGGGGCUGCAGGCAGAAAUGGGUCCAGAAGGCAAGGUCGAGGUUAGAGCCAAGCCUGUGGGCAGGGCUACGGGCAGGGGGCGGGGAGGAAUGUGGGUCCAGGCCCAGAGGAAAAGGUUGAAGUUAUAGCCAGGCCUGUGGGCGAGGCCGCAGCAGGGCGGCCAUAGGGGAAGGAGCCAAUGUGUUAUGCAUGUAGAAAAUAGACAAAAUCUCACUCUGUCACCAAGGCUGGAGUUCAGUGGAGCCAUCUCAGCUCACUGCAACCUCCACCUCCCAGGUUCAAGCGAUUCUCCUGCCUCAUCCUCCCAAGUAGCUGGAAUUACAGGUGCAUGCUGCCACACCCUGCUAAUUUUUGUAUUUUUAGUAGAGGCAGGGUUUUGCCAUGCUGGCCAGGCUGGUCUUGAACUACUUGUCAGGCCUCUGAGCCCAAGUUAAAUCAUCAUAAACCCUGUCACCUGCACGUAUACAUCCAGAUGGCCUGGAGCAACUGAAGAACCACAAAAGAAGUGAAACAGCCAGUUCCUGCCUUAACUGAUGACGUUCCACCAUUGUGAUUUGUUGCUGCCCCACCCCAACUGAUCUCUUGACCUUGUGACAUUCUUCUUCUGGACGAGUCUCAGGAGUUCCCCACCGAGCACCUUGUGACCCCCGGCCCUGCCAGCAAAAGAUAACCACCUUUAACUUUCCACUACCUACCCAAAUCCUAUAAAACUGCCCCACCCCUAUCUCCCUUUGCUGACCCCUUUCUCGGACUCAGCCCACUUGCACCCAAGUGAAUAAACAGCCUUGUUGCU